CAGUCGCCGCGGUAAUACGUAGGUGGCAAGCGUUGUCCGGAAUUAUUGGGCGUAAAGCGCGCGCAGGCGGAUAGGUCAGUCUGUCUUAAAAGUUCGGGGCUUAACCCCGUGAUGGGAUGGAAACUGCCAAUCUAGAGUAUCGGAGAGGAAAGUGGAAUUCCUAGUGUAGCGGUGAAAUGCGUAGAUAUUAGGAAGAACACCAGUGGCGAAGGCGACUUUCUGGACGAAAACUGACGCUGAGGCGCGAAAGCCAGGGGAGCGAACGGGAUUAGAGACCCCCGUAGUCCCUGUCUCUUAUACA
rnacentral:rRNA from 1 species